UACGAAGGGGGCUAGCGUUGCUCGGAAUCACUGGGCGUAAAGGGCGCGUAGGCGGACUCUUAAGUCGGGGUGAAAGCCCAGGGCUCAACCCUGGAAUUGCCUUCGAUACUGAGAGUCUUGAGUUCGGAAGAGGUGGUGGAACUGCGAGUGUAGAGGUGAAAUUCGUAGAUAUUCGCAAGAACACCAGUGGCGAAGGCGGCCAACUGGUCCGAUACUGACGCUGAGGCGGCGAAA
rnacentral:rRNA from 1 species